GUAGACCCUGGGGUAGACCAAGAACACGCUGAAGGGAUUAUAUAUUUCAUCUGGCUUGGAAAGUCCUUGGGAUCUCUCAGGAAAUGAAAAGCAUUGCUGGGAGGAGAACAUCAAGACUACCCUUUUAAUCCCGCUGCUGCGACCCGUCCUCGGAUAAGUGGAAGAAAAUGCAUACCGUGCUGUGAUGUUAUGCGAUGUGCCUCCAGUGCUCUUCCUUUUCACAGUUGUGAACCAUGAGUACAAUCUCUCCAAGUUAAGUCACAGUUUAAGACAAAUGUGUCAGCCCUCCAGCUCUUGUGAGAACAGACAGAGGACAAACACAGAUGUGAUGCCAGCCCCCAUCAGUGCCAGAGGAUGAAAACUGGACCUGUGAAGUGUUCGAUGAUCAGAACAAGAUUAUCCUAAGAAAGAUGAAGACGGCAAGCUGCACUCAAGAGUGCGGAGGGGGAUAGUACGAACCUUCAACGUGUUAUGCCCUCCCGGAGAAGCUCCUCUCUGGCAGAUGUACACACCAUGUCAAGGAGGUUCAUAUGUCUGUAUAGACCAACAAUAGAGUCAAUAGUGAUCACAUGAGGACCCCAGUGCAUGGGUCGAUACUGAUUUAGUUUGCUGUGCUGUGAUGUGCUGUUUUGUGUGAACAUCUGUAGGGCAGAGGAGCAUUGACCACGGUUGACUUUCAUCCAACUCUACAGGGACUCGCCAUACACGCACACAUGCAUACACUGUACAAGCACCCUGUUAUCAUAUCCACAUGUAACGAUCAUACAGUGCGAAAUUCUAAAUUAUUCCAUCUCACGAAGAAAAUAAAGAUCAGGGCGAAACAAUCUAGAGGCUGAACGAAAAUUAACCAAACCGUGUUUUAAUCCGUGUAUGAAUCGUUAAUACAGCUAGCUGAUUUAACUAAUAACAGUUCAUGUUUGCUGUGUACCACUGGAUGUACUGACAACUGUCACUGAAUUAAUUUGAUCCUGAAGAAAUCUUACAAAUCUGCUGCAGGUUUAUCAAGUGUAACGCACAAAGCUACACUAGUCGGACACAUUAAAUAUCAAAAUCAAAAUUUUUCUGUUUUGGUUUUAAAAGAGAAAAAAAACGAAAAACGACUUGUUU